GUUGGUGAACCAGCGGAGGGAUCAUUACCGAGUUUACAACUCCCAAACCCCUGUGAACAUACCAAUUGUUGCCUCGGCGGAUCAGCCCGCUCCCGGUAAAACGGGACGGCCCGCCAGAGGACCCCUAAACUCUGUUUCUAUAUGUAACUUCUGAGUAAAACCAUAAAUAAAUCAAAACUUUCAACAACGGAUCUCUUGGUUCUGGCAUCGAUGAAGAACGCAGCAAAAUGCGAUAAGUAAUGUGAAUUGCAGAAUUCAGUGAAUCAUCGAAUCUUUGAACGCACAUUGCGCCCGCCAGUAUUCUGGCGGGCAUGCCUGUUCGAGCGUCAUUUCAACCCUCAAGCCCUCGGGUUUGGUGUUGGGGAUCGGCGAGCCCUUGCGGCAAGCCGGCCCCGAAAUCUAGUGGCGGUCUCGCUGCAGCUUCCAUUGCGUAGUAGUAAAACCCUCGCAACUGGUACGCGGCGCGGCCAAGCCGUUAAACCCCCAACUUCUGAAUGUUGACCUCGGAUCAGGUAGGAAUACCCGCUGAACUUAAGCAUAUCAAUAAGCGGAGGA
rnacentral:rRNA from 1 species